rnacentral:misc_RNA from 1 species
CAAGGUUUCUCUAAGGGGCGGGUAACGCCGUUCCCUGGAAAACUCCACCCUUUGUGUAUUAUUACUUGUUGCUUUGGCAGGCCGCGAGAUCGUUAAACGCGAUUGAGCACCGGCUUCGGCUGGAGAGUGCCUGCCAGAGGACCCAACUCUGUUAUAAAUGUCGUCUGAAAACUAUUAAAUAGUUA